rnacentral:rRNA from 1 species
UGAGGAAUAUUGGUCAAUGGACGAGAGUCUGAACCAGCCAAGUAGCGUGCAGGAAGACGGCCCUAUGGGUUGUAAACUGCUUUUAUAAGGGAAUAAAGUGAGAGUCGUGACUCUUUUUGCAUGUACCUUAUGAAUAAGGACCGGCUAAUUCCGUGCCAGCAGCCGCGGUAAUACGGAAGGUCCGGGCGUUAUCCGGAUUUAUUGGGUUUAAAGGGAGCGUAGGCCGGAGAUUAAGCGUGUUGUGAAAUGUAGACGCUCAACGUCUGCACUGCAGCGCGAACUGGUUUCCUUGAGUACGCACAAAGUGGGCGGAAUUCGUGGUGUAGCGGUGAAAUGCUUAGAUAUCACGAAGAACUCCGAUUGCGAAGGCAGCUCACUGGAGCGCAACUGACGCUGAAGCUCGAAAGUGCGGGUAUCGAACAGG